UUUAACAGAAAAGGGGAGAUAGCUCUAGGUCUCCUGUGUUCAGAAGAACAUUGAGGUAUAACAAAAAUCAAUGGCCGAGAUAUCGUUCAAUUGUCAUCUUUUUUUAUUGGCGAUUCGAUUGUUGCUCGUCCACAU